CAGAGAUCCACAGCUCAAAAGAGACCCACAGCUCAGCAGAGACCCACAGCUGGAGUCCACAGUUCGGCACCGAGUCAGCCAGAGCGCAGCAGCAGGAGUCCACAGUUCGGCACCGAGUCAGCCAGAGCGCAGCAGCAGGAGUCCACAGUUUGGGACCGAGUCAGCCAGAGCAUGUACUGAGCCUGCCCGACCCCUGUCUGGAUCCUGUUUCCCUGCCUGGGAAUAAGACCUGAUCUGUUGCUGGACUUCUGCUUGAUUCUGUCCUGGACUGUCUGCCCGUGUACCUGACCUCUGCCUGCCUGUAAAUUUCCGAGCCUGCUAACCCUUGUCUGUGUCUGAGUUGCUAGUUAUUCGGAUCUGGUGUGGACCAAAGUCUCUGAGUCCCCUGUUCUGGACUGCUGCUCGAGCUCUGUUUUUGCCUUCCGGAUUAUUCCCCUGCUCUGAGUCUGAUCCCUGCAACCCGCCCUGCCUGUCUCCCUGCUGGACUCAAGGACUGUUUGUGUUUGCUUGUUAAUUUAAUAAACUGCCUAAACAUC